rnacentral:rRNA from 1 species
UGGGAAACAAUGUGGGAAGGCACAAACAGCUAGGAGGUUGGCUUAGAAGCAGCCAUCCUUUAAAGAAAGCGUAAUAGCUCACUAGUCGAGUCGGCCUGCGCGGAAGAUGUAACGGGGCUAAAUUGGUAACCGAAGCUGCGGAUGCAUGCUUGCAUGCAUGGUAGAGGAGCGUUCUGUAAGCCGUUGAAGGUGAACCGAGAGGUUUGCUGGAGGUAUCAGAAGUGCGAAUGCUGACAUGAGUAACGAAUAAGGGGGUGAAAAACCUCCUCGCCGGAAGACUAAGGAUUCCUGUCCAACGCUUUUCGUGGCAGGGUUAGUCGGCUCCUAAGGCGUACCCGAAAGGGGAAGUCGAUGGGAAACAGGUUAAUAUUCCUGUACCAGUUGGAAGUGACGAAUCUAGUAAAUUGUAUGUGCUAAUUGGAUUGUGCAUGCAGUGAAUAGGUUCCAAGAAAUAGCUCCAACAUAGACCGUACCAUAAACCGACACAGGUGGUCAGGUAGAGAAUACCAAGGCGGAUGAGAUAACUCUGGUGAAGGAACUAGGCAAAAUGUAACCGUAACUUCGGGAGAAGGUUAGCCAAUUAGAAGGCAACUUUUAGUUGGUCGAAGAUACCAGGUGGCUGCGACUGUUUACUAAAAACACAGCACUCUGCUAACACGAAAGUGGACGUAUAGGGUGUGACGCCUGCCCGGUGCCGGAAGGUUAAAUGAUGGGGUUAGCUUCGGCGAAGCUCUUGAUUGAAGCCCCGGUAAACGGCGGCCGUAACUAUAACGGUCCUAAGGUAGCGAAAUUCCUUGUCGGGUAAGUUCCGACCUGCACGAAUGGCGUAACGAUGGCCACACUGUCUCCACCAGAGGCUCAGUGAAAUUGAAAUAGCUGUUAAGAUGCAGUUUACCCGCAGCUAGACGGAAAGACCCCGUGCACCUUUACUACAGGUUCGCACUGAACUCCGGUUUUAUUUGUGUAGGAUAGGUGGGAGACUUUGAAACUUUGACGCUAGUCAUUGUGGAGUCGUCCUUGAAAUACCACCCUUGUAAGAUUGAAGUUCUAACCUUGAUUUUUUUCAGGAACAGUGCGUGCUGGGUAGUUUGACUGGGGCGGUCUCCUCCUAAAGAGUAACGGAGGAGCACGAAGGUAUCCUCAACACGGUCGGACAUCGUGUGUAGAGUGCAAAAGCAAAAGGAUGCUUGACUGCGAGAUCGACGGAUCGAGCAGGUAGGAAACUAGGUUUUAGUGAUCCGGUGGUUCUGAAUGGAAGGGCCAUCGCUCAACGGAUAAAAGGUAC